CCCUUAGAUGUUCUGGGCCGCACGCGCGCUACACUGACUACUUCAACGAGUUGUUUCCUUGAUCGAAAGGUCUGGGUAAUCUUUGAAAGGUAGUCGUGAUGGGGAUAGAUCCUUGCAAUUUUUGAUCUUCAACGAGGAAUUCCUAGUAAACGCAAGUCAUCAGCUUGCAUUGAUUACAUCCCUGCCCUUUGUACACACCGCCCGUCGCACCUACCGAUUGAAUGGUCCGGUGAAUCUUUAGGACUGUGGCUGAGGCCUUGCCUUGUGCGGGUCUGGCCGUGGGAAUUUAGUUAAACCUUACCAUUUAGAGGAAGGUGAAGUCGUAACA
rnacentral:rRNA from 1 species